GCCGGAUUAGCUCAGUUGGUAGAGCAGCGGUUUUGUAAACCGAAGGUCGCGGGUUCGAGUCCUGCAUCCGGCACCA
rnacentral:tRNA from 2 species